GCUUGGGGUGAAAUUGUAUCCUAUAAAAUGGAAUUGAGUCAAGCUGUGAUAUAUUUGAAUCCUAUUGAGAACUAGAUUAUAUGGUCAAUGGCAGCUCAGUAGCAUGUUUUAAUCACCAAGCGCUGUGGUGCUGACCUGACAGCACUUGUGGAAAUCUCUGGCCCAUGUCCCUGGGGAAAACGAGAGCUUCAUUGUGCCCACAAUUUUUUUCCUCAUGAAUAGGACAUGUCAUAGUGACCCAUCAAAUGGCACUUUAUGAAAUAAUUGUAGGAGUAGUACCUACCUGUCAUGAAAUAUUUGUACAAGUAAAGGAUAGACAAACACUUCCAUAAGUAUACGGAGCUAAAAAGCAAAGGAAAAGCCCCUUAAUGCCACUGUCCCAUUCCAUCCCUUCUAUCCUCCUCAAGGAGGAGGGGUGAUACCAGUGAUAGCAAUUUGGUGUGUGUCACGCGAGACCUCUCCUUUGUCACCACGUGUGUACACACACAAACACACAUGAUCGUACCUAUAAACAGAUGGGUCAUACUCUUCAGAUUGUUUUUAGCAAUUCCUCAGAGACAUCUCUUGGACACUACUAUCCUUUUGAUGUCUGCAGAGCAUUCAGUGUCCUAGUGAAAAACCUGUAGGUAAUUUGGGGGGUGUUAUAAACUAUGCUUUAAUAACCUCCCUUGUUCAUUUAUUUUUGGGCAUAUAUGUGUGUUUUUAUGGACUAGAUAGAAAAAGGUUCAUGGUUUUUGGUUUAUCUCUAAGGUCUCACUCUCAACAAUUGCUUUUAGUCAGCCUAAAUGUCAGCAUUGUCCUCUGUCCUUCUGCUUAUCUAGAAAGCCAUCUGGGGCACUGGUCAUCUUUGCUGGACACAUGGUGUCUCUUGCAGUGAGGAUGGGGGGCAUACAAAGAGGAGAGUUGUUUAUGUUUACAGCCUUUGAUACUUUUGAUUUUGUCUGCCAGCUACUAACUGAGUGUUGUGUUCUUUUAUUCCCAUAUAUAGGACAGGUCAGAUAAAGUAAGAACUUGCCUUCAGUUAUGUACAUUGUUACAAGCUUUUUGGAGAGCUCUUGACAAUAUCUACUGAAAUUUAAAAUGUUCAUGCCUUUUGAUCCUGCAAUUCUGCUGCUACACGGUACUAUAGAAAUAACCUUAUUUUGAGACCUGAAAGAUUUUGUUCAGAUAUGAAUCUCAGAAACUUACAGGAAACUUAUUAUUUAAAUAGUUCCUUCAAUGGAGUGAAUGUUUGUGUCCCCCCCCCAAAUUUGUAUGUUGAAAUGCUACCCCCUAAUGUAUGGUAUUAGAAGCUUUAAAAAUCCCGUGAUCUGACCCUAUUUUCAUAGUUUUUACUAAACAAGUCAGUUGGUAGACAUACAGCCAAACUAAGAAACAGGUUGUACUUCUGAACAGGAAAAAAUGGCUAUUAACUUUUAAAUGUAAAUAUGCAGUAUUUUCCCAUAGAAUUGAUGCUACUAAAUAUUAUUUAAGACAGUGUAGUACUUGUUGAACACAGGUGCUAUAGUGGAAACUACGGGUCCGGAGAGAAAUGAGGUAGAGCGCUUGUCCUCAAGGAAAUUACCAUUUCCAGAGUAGGAACAACUUCACGAAUGUUUUCCUAGUCUGGUAACCUGUCACGUCACUUGUCUCUGGCCCAGCUGCAGCUUACAGGAUGAUCCUGUACCUUCUCUUCCUGGCAAUUACUGCAUCUUGAGGGAGAUGGAUGUAUCUCAGAGGAUCCCCGGUUUUGGGGCUGGACGCAAUGAACAGAGAUCCAGGUUCCAGGCAGAAGAACAGGUUUUCAUUCUUCAGACCUGUUCACACUUCAGUGGUGAAUACAGAAGACAAAAUUAGUACAGAUCAAGUAACAUGGAAAAGAAAAAAGAGACAACACUAGAUACAGAAGCAGACAACAGGAGGAGAAAACUCAGGCCUUGGCAAAAGCCACAUUACCGAACAGGGUUGCAGAGAGUGUCAGCUGGGGUCAGAUGAGAACAGCAGUCUGACUCAACAGACAUUUAUUGUACUCCUGCUGUAUGCCAAGAAAUGCACCGAAAUCUGGAAGUGUGUAACACAGGAGAAGAAAAGGCUUAUCGCCAAGGAGCCCUCACCUGGAAAGAGAGAUGGCAUCUCAGCCUAAGGUGGUGAAAUGUUGACAUGCUACCAGGAGGACAAAACAGCAGAGGACUAAUUUUUACUUCCUGUUGGCUCAAGCAGGAAACCCAAGCCAGACUGAUUCCUCCAUGUUUGACUUACAACUUCGAGAGUGUCUAGCCAGGUAUUCUGAGUGCCAUCAAGCAAGUAACAGCUGGAGAACGUGCAGCGAAAGAAACCACACAACAAGGAGCCAAAUCACAUUUUUCACUUAUUACGGAACAACUUUAGGAUAAGUUGACACUUAACACAUUGCAGUCCGAUGUUUGCCACCGUGUCUGAUACACGGCACUGUGUGUAUAUCAUGCAAUUAUGUUCUUCACGUGAUUGUUCACAUAAACUUAUUACAUUUUGGAACAGAUACAGCUAAAAUAAAUCUCUUUUGAAUUUU